rnacentral:rRNA from 1 species
GACGAAGGGGGCUAGCGUUGUUCGGAAUUACUGGGCGUAAAGCGAGUGUAGGUGGUUGUCCAAGUUGGAUGUGAAAGCCUUGAGCUCAACUCAAGAAAUGCAUUCAGGACUGGGCGGCUAGAGGACCGGAGAGGAUAGUGGAAUUCCCAGUGUAGUGGUGAAAUACGUAGAGAUUGGGAAGAACACCAGUGGCGAAGGCGGCUAUCUGGACGGUUUCUGACACUAAGACUCGAAAGCGUGGGGAGCAAAUAGG